rnacentral:rRNA from 1 species
UCCGUGUGUCUACAAGUAGUCAAAGCACAUUAAAGUGCAAUGGCGUGCCUUUUGUAGAAUGAACCGGCGAGUUACGUUAUCUAGCGAGGUUAAGUCAGAAAAGACGGAGCCGGAGCGAAAGCGAGUCUUAAUAGGGCGAAAAGUUAGGUGACGUAGACCCGAAACCAAGUGACCUACCCAUGACCAGGCUGAAGGUGUGGUAAAACGCACUGGAGGGCCGAACCCACGUAAGUUAAAAAUUGCGGGGAUGAGUUGUGGGUAGCGGUGAAAUUCCAAACGAACUUGGAGAUAGCUGGUUCUCUCCGAAAUAGCUUUAGGGCUAGCCUCGUGGAGAGGAUAAUGGAGGUAGAGCUCUGUUUGGACUAGGGGCCCGUCAGGGGUUACUGAAUCCAGAUAAACUACGAAUUCCAGAUAUCCAUACACGGGAGUCAGACUGCGAGUGAUAAGAUCCGUAGUCGAAAGGGAAACAGCCCAGAUCACCAGUUAAGGUCCCCAAAUCUAUGCUAAGUGGAAAAGGAUGUGGAGUUGCGUAGACAACUAGGACGUUGGCUCAGAAGCAGCCAUCAUUCAAAGAGUGCGUAAUAGCUCACUAGUCGAGUGGCGCUGCGCCGAAAAUUUACCGGGGCUAAGCAUAGUACCGAAACUGUGGAUGUGUUUUAAAGAGCACGUGGUAGGAGAGCGUUCUAAGAGCGGAGAAGUUGAAUCGAGAGGAUCAAUGGAGCGCUUAGAAGUGAGAAUGCCGGUAUGAGUAGCGAAAGAUAGGUGAGAAUCCUAUCCGCCGAAAGACUAAGGUUUCCUGGGGCAGGCUCGUCCGCCCAGGGUAAGUCGGGACCUAAGGCAAGGCCGAGAGGCGUAGUCGAUGGAUAACAGGUAGAGAUUCCUGUACUGUGUCAAAUCGUUAAGAGCGAAGGAGGGACGCAGGAGGUGAAGCACGCAUCGCGAUGGAACGAUGUUCAAGCAACAAGUGCGGUUAAGAGUCAAAUGCUUCUAACCAGCAACACGAGUUGUGAAGAGGAGUGAAUUAAAAGUAGCGAAGGUGUGGUAAUCACACUGCCAAGAAAAGCUUCUAGCCAGAGAUGACAUACCCGUACCGCAAACCGACACAGGUAGUCGAGUGGAGAACACUAAGGUGAGCGAGAGAACUCUCGUUAAGGAACUCGGCAAAAUGACCCCGUAACUUCGGAAGAAGGGGUGCUAGCCAAGAGAUUGGUUAGCCGCAGUGAAUAGGCCCAAACAACUGUUUAUCAAAAACACAGGUCUCUGCAAAAUCGUAAGAUGACGUAUAGAGGCUGACACCUGCCCGGUGCUGGAAGGUUAAGAGGAGAGCUUAGCGUAAGCGAAGGUUUGAAUUGAAGCCCCAGUAAACGGCGGCCGUAACUAUAACGGUCCUAAGGUAGCGAAAUUCCUUGUCGGGUAAGUUCCGACCUGCACGAAAGGUGUAAUGAUUUGGGCACUGUCUCAACGAGAGACUCGGUGAAAUUAUAAUACCCGUGAAGAUGCGGGUUACCCGCGACAGGACGGAAAGACCCCAUGGAGCUUCACUGUAGCUUGAUAUUGAGUAUCUUUUAAACAUGUACAGGAUAGGUAGGAGCCAGAGAAGAUAGGACGCUAGUCUUAUUGGAGGCAAUGUUGGGAUACUACCCUUGUUUGAAGGAUGCUCUAACCUCGACCUGUAAGCCAGGCCAGGGACAGUGUCAGGUGGGCAGUUUGACUGGGGCGGUCGCCUCCUAAAGUGUAACGGAGGCGCUCAAAGGUUCCCUCAGAAUGGUUGGAAAUCAUUCGCAGAGUGUAAAGGUAUAAGGGAGCUUGACUGCGAGAGAGACAACUCGAGCAGGUAGGAAACUAGGACUUAGUGAUCUGGUGGUACCGUAUGGAAGGGCCAUCACUCAACGGAUAAAAGCUACCCUGGGGAUAACAGGCUUAUCUCCCCCAAGAGUUCACAUCGACGGGGAGGUUUGGCACCUCGAUGUCGGCUCGUCGCAUCCUGGGGCUGAAGUCGGUCCCAAGGGUUGGGCUGUUCGCCCAUUAAAGCGGCACGCGGAGCUGGGGUCAGAACGUCGUGAGACAGGUUCGGUCCCUAUCCGUCG